GAUGAACGCUGGCGGCGUGCCUAAUACAUGCAAGUCGAGCGAACAGACGAGGAGCUUGCUCCUCUGACGUUAGCGGCGGACGGGUGAGUAACACGUGGAUAACCUACCUAUAAGACUGGGAUAACUUCGGGAAACCGGAGCUAAUACCGGAUAAUAUAUUGAACCGCAUGGUUCAAUAGUGAAAGACGGUUUUGCUGUCACUUAUAGAUGGAUCCGCGCCGCAUUAGCUAGUUGGUAAGGUAACGGCUUACCAAGGCAACGAUGCGUAGCCGACCUGAGAGGGUGAUCGGCCACACUGGAACUGAGACACGGUCGAGACUCCUACGGGAGGAAGCAGUAGGGAAUCUUCCGCAAUGGGCGAAAGCUUGACGGAGCAACGCCGCGUGAGUGAUGAAGGUCUUCGGAUCGUAAAACUCUGUUAUUAGGGAAGAACAAAUGUGUAAGUAACUAUGCACGUCUUGACGGUACCUAAUCAGAAAGCCACGGCUAACUACGUG
rnacentral:rRNA from 1 species